CCCAGGACAACAGAGACUCCUCCUCCUCCUCAUAACAAAGGGUUCCACAAUCUCAUAGACCUUCCAAAGAGAAUUUGAUAAGGCGGGUAGCCAGUAUCCAAUCGAUCACUGCUCCGGAUGGCUGCCAGUUACCCUUGGCAUCUCCCAGCAACGGAACCAAUGUCCUUUUGAACUCCCAACUUGUCAAAAGACAUGAAAUUGUGUAAAAGAUCCCUGGGUCCUGAUUCUGUCAUCUCAGAUCUGCUUAGGCUUCAUCAGGGGAAGUUUGAGUCACAAGACUGAGGUCCCAGUUAUGCUGGUACGCCCUGAAAGUGAUAUUGGACAUUGGACUGUGAACUAUUUCUGAAAGAACUCUUUACAGCUAGAAAGCUCGCCAUCUCUGCUAUGGAUCUGAACCUCGAUGAAUCAAACUCAUGUCUGUAUGUGUAUUCAUCUUUUAAUCAUACUCUCUCUCUCUUUUGUUAAAGUUUAGUUUAGUUCAUAAGAAAUGGCUGUAGUGUGUAUUUGGGUAAGAUCUGAAACAUCCGUUAACCUGGGAGGGGAUGUGUCCGAUCCUUUGGGAUUGCUAGAACCUUUUCUUUUAUAGGAUGAAAUAAGAUUUUCAGAAAUCAUCAUACCUGACAUAAAGGAAAUGUUGCCUUAA